AGAGGUGGCAAGUGUUGUUCGGAUUUACUGGGCGUAAAGGGUCCGCAGGCGGCUUUGUGUGUCAGAUGUGAAAGCCCACGGCUUAACCGUGGAAAUGCAUUUGAAACUACAGAGCUAGAGUACGGGAGAGUAGAGGGGAAUUCAUGGUGUAGCGGUGAAAUGCGUAGAUAUCAUGAAGAACACCGGUGGCGAGAGCGCCUCUCUGGACCGAUACUGACGCUCAUGGACGAAAGCUAGGGGAGCAAAGAGGAUUAGAUACCCUCGUAGUCCUAGCCAUAAACGGUGUGCACUUGAUGUGGGAGGUUUACCCCCUUCCGUGUCGAAGCUAACGCGAUAAGUGCACCGCCUGGGAAGUACGGCCGCAAGGUUA
rnacentral:rRNA from 1 species